CAAAUACUCCCUCCGUCCGGAAAUACUUGUCAUCAAAAUGGAUAAAAGGAAAUGUAUCUAGACGUAUUUUAGUUUUAGAUACAUCUCUUUUUAUCCAUUUUGAUGACAAG
rfam:Triticum aestivum genome assembly, contig: Triticum_aestivum_CS42_TGACv1_scaffold_450590_5DL